rnacentral:rRNA from 1 species
UGCCAGCCGCCGCGGUAAUACGAAGGGGGCGAGCGUUGUUCGGAAUUACUGGGCGUAAAGGGCGCGUAGGCGGUCUUUUAAGUUAGGCGUGAAAGCCCCGGGCUCAACCCGGGAACUGCGCUUAAGACUGGAAGACUAGAAAACGGAAGAGGGUAGUGGAAUUCCCAGUGUAGAGGUGAGAUGCGUAGAUAUAGGAAGGAACAUCAGUGGCGAAGGCGGCCACCUGGUCCGAUUUUGACGCUGAGGCGCGAAAGCGUGGGGAGCAAACAGGAUUAGAUA